GCCAUUGGAUAGAUUCCUUGUUAAAGUUGCAUGAAAAGAAAGAUUCCACUGAGCCAAUAGAUAGCAGUGAUUCCGUUAGUGAAAGUGAAAGUUGUCCCGCACGAUAACCCUCCUCUCUCUUGCCUCCCUCACACCAGCCACGAAGGUUUUCAAAGUACUAUGUGACCCAGUCUGGCGAAUGAAAUAUAAAAUACCGGGAAUAUACUGGAAAGCUUUUGGGGAAAAUCUCCUCCAUGACAACAAGAACGUUUGUGAAGAAAAAUGCGCAGUCCCAUGAUUUGCUUGCCCUUGGACCCCCCUCUCCCACCGCAGUCUUGCCUCUGAAUGUACCUGCUUCAAGUAUGUGAUACUUGGGACGGUUGCAGGCCACGGGGCAGUCAUGAGAUCACACGAAUCUUUGAAAUGCUAAUGCUGAGCGCUAAUAUCAUUGGCCACUAAAUCAACACUAGUAGCCAUUAUGUAUUUGCAGACUUCUUGUUAUUGCAGAACAACAAACAACUGAAUGUAGGC